GAUGAAGAACGCAGUGAAAUGCGAUACGUAAUGUGAAUUGCAGAGUUCAGUGAAUCAUCGAGUCUUUGAACGCACAUUGCGCCCCCUGGUAUUCCGGGGGGCAUGCCUGUCCGAGCGUCAUUGCUGCCCUCAAGCACGGCUUGUGUGUUGGGCCUCCGUCCUCCUCCCGGGGGACGGGCCCGAAAGGCAGCGGCGGCACCGCGUCCGGUCCUCGAGCGUAUGGGGCUUCGUCACCCGCUCUUGUAGGCCCGGCCGGCGCUUGCCGACACAUCAAUCUUUUUUCCAGGUUGACCUCGGAUCAGGUAGGGAUACCCGCUGAACUUAAGCAUAUCAAUAAGCGGAGGA
rnacentral:misc_RNA from 1 species